rnacentral:rRNA from 1 species
GACAGAGGUGCCGAGCGUUAGGCGGAAUCACUGGGCUUAAAGCGUGUGUAGGCGGACCGUUAAGUACCUUGUGAAAUCCCCCCGGCUCAACCGGGGAACGGCUGGGUAUACUGGCGGUCUUGAGCCAUCCAGGGGCAGUCGGAACAGACGGUGGAGCGGUGAAAUGCGUAGAUAUCGUCUGGAACGCCGAAGGUGAAAACAGACUGCUGGGGAUGGGCUGGACGCUGAGACGACGAAAGCCAAG